GCUCAUAUUAUAACUAUAUGCUCUCAACAUGUCCGAUCAUUGGCGUACGCAUUAUUCACUCGGAAGAAAACCGAUUCUGAAACGUGGAAUUUCUCGAGUAAUACAACCGUGAUGUGAUAUUACGACCCACGUGAAAAAAUUGCUAUGCUUGUUAUAAUAUUCUCUAUGUUUGGAAAUGUAUGUAAAGUUAAAUUAUCCUAAUAUUACGUUAAAAAGUUGUUAAAAUAUGCCUCUAAGUAGCAUUCAGUUAGAAUAUCCUCGUAUACAUAUGGUUAACUAAAAGGAUUAUUGUUAUCUCUCUAAUGUAGUCUGCAGAACAAAUAGUACGAUUGAGAGAUAAGAUAUAGUUGCACGGCAUUGAGAGUUCGGUUUCAUUACGGUAAUAGAAUAGACAGUAGCAGUAACUCGCGAAGAAUUUUCACACAUAAAAUAAAGCUACUUAGGUUUAUUCGUUAGUUUUCCUAAUCAAUGACAAAGAAAUGUGGCCGUGAAUGCUCCGGUUUUGGCCUUGAAGCCAGACAAAGAACAAGACGACGAAAAAUUUAGUUUAUAAUGGCUUACGCAGCAAAAAUGGGAUUUUGUAUUAAUUUUAGACACUAAUAAAUCCUAGACCGGAUGAUCGUGUCCGCAUAUACGAGAGUCGGUAAAUGGACAUCAUCUAAAAUUAGAAACCCAUGUUACGUAGACGUCUUAGUUGAAACGCUGUCGUGAACUAAGGGCGAACGGAGCUUCUCUCCUCCAGCCGCGUUUCGUCACAGUCAGUGCACUCAUUAGUCGAUACCGGUUGCAGCAUCUGUUCCUCGUCUUUAAAAGCUAAAAUUAGAGUAGAUUGCAUUUCGGCAUUAUUACCUGUUCGCCGGGCACGUCAUGACAAAGCGGCAGGACUUGUCGAUUGAUUUCCCAAACACGAGAUUGUAGAUAUCGCUUGAAACCGACUUCUUUGUCAAUUGAACUUUCGAGUCGAUUUAAACACAAAGGUAGACCAUUGUUUUGCACUAUCUUCAAUUUAGGGCUUUUAAAGCUAUGAUCGAUUUCAGAUAUUACGGCCUUUAAAAAAAAGUAUCAAAGAUAAGAAUGAUUAUUCAUAUUCAACUCAGUUGUAUUUAAACUUUAAAACGUGAAAGUGUGAGUUUCUCUGACGACGAGCAGCAGGUAUGCGCUUGACAGAGGAUUUACAAAAUCCUUUAUUCGGCCCGGCUAUCUAAACACAAACGAGAUUUUUGACACACUCGACAUAUUUGUCGUGGGUUUUAGUUACCUGCGUUUUCCUAGGUAAUUGUUUACGCAAAAGAAAGAAAAUGGUGUAACUAUUUUCAGGUUAAUGCAGCUCGGCAGAGAAGGAUCCAAAUGCGCAGUAACUACAACCCACGAAAAUCGUGUCGGAUAUGUCAAGGAUCGUUUGUGCUCAAAAAACCUGGCCAAAAAAGAAACUAAACCCCGUAUACUUUUGUUACUUGUUCAGAGAAUCAGAGUCAGUUAAAGUCUAG